CUCAACUCACCAUGCAUUUCAGGAUAGCCCCAGGUGACUCUGUGAUUCUCUGGUUGCAGUGAGUGACAGCAGCGUUCCUUCAGGUGGCGUUUUCCCUGGGACAGCCAAAGACACUUUCAGCAGAGAACUUGUCCCAUGAAUUGCUGGGUACUGGUGAAAUGAUGACGUGAAGUUUUGAGGUUUGGUCUAAUAGGAAGAACAGAAGAGCUUCUUGGAGUACAGGAAGAAGGAGGUGACUUCCCUGAACCAAGUGAAAUGGCAUGUUUUUAGGACGAAAGUCAUUUUUUCCCCUAGACUCUGGAAGGAUUUUAUAAUGCAUAUAAAUGGAGUUUAUUAAGGUUUUGGCAGAUUUGUGAUCCACAUGAAUUUGAAUAACCUACAAUGUCUCCUAGUAAAUAGUCAAGUUUGGUAAUCUUGGGCCCAACUAAGAUUCCUGGACAUGUUCCUUUGACCCUGACCCCAGGUAACAUGUUUUCUUAGAUCAGUACAUGUUUGCUCCAGUAACUGUGGGACAAAACAUUUCUUGACUACCCGAGCUACUUCUGUCCAAUCGAAGGUAGAAUUCACAU
rnacentral:lncRNA from 1 species